UACGUAGGGUGCAAGCGUUGUCCGGAAUUAUUGGGCGUAAAAGAGCUCGUAGGCGGUUUGUCGCGUCUGCUGUGAAAACUCGGGGCUUAACUCCGGGGCCUGCAGUGGGUACGGGCAGACUAGAGUGCGGUAGGGGAGACUGGAAUUCCUGGUGUAGCGGUGAAAUGCGCAGAUAGUCAGGAGGAACACCGGUGGCGAAGGCGGGUCUCUGGGCCGUAACUGACGCGU
rnacentral:rRNA from 1 species